GCACUACUGAGGAGUCCCACAAUAGGACUAGACGGCCUUCUAGUGC
rfam:Schistosoma mattheei strain Denwood, Zambia genome assembly, scaffold: SMTD_scaffold0000434